rnacentral:rRNA from 1 species
UACGGAGGGGGGCUAGCGUUGUUCGGAAUUACUGGGCGUAAAGCGCACGUAGGCGGCUUUGUAAGUUAGAGGUGAAAGCCCAGGGCUUAACCCUGGAAUUGCCUUUAAGACUGCAUCGCUCGAAUUGUGGAGAGGUGAGUGGAAUUCCGAGUGUAGAGGUGAAAUUCGUAGAUAUUCGGAAGAACACCAGUGGCGAAGGCGACUCACUGGACACAUAUUGACGCUGAGGUGCGAAAGCGUGGGGGAGCAAACAGG